rnacentral:rRNA from 1 species
GACGAACGCUGGCGGCGUGCUUAACACAUGCAAGUCGAACGAAGUGGCGAACGGGUGUGUAAUACGUGGGUAACCCGCCCUCCUUUUUGGGAUAAGCCUUGGAAACGGGUUCUAAUACCGAAUAAAGGGUGAUGGGCUCGCGGCCUAUCAGCUUGUUGGUGGGGUGAUGGCCUAACAAGGCGGUGACGGGUAGCGGGCAUGAGAGGGUGACCGGGCACAGUGGCACGGGGAUACGGCCCAGACGCGGACGGGGUGGAGCAGUGGGGGAAAUGGGCCAAUGGGUGAAAGCCUGAUGCAGCGACGCCGCGUGGGGGAUGAAGGCUGUCGGGUUGUAAACCUCUUGCGCUAUGGAACGGGUAGGUGGAGAAGAAGCGCCGGCUAACUACGUGCCAGCAGCCGCGGUAAUAC